UGGGGAUUAGAGAGCGAGGGAAGACCUGCAGCAAAUGGUGGCAGCUUGGAGUCUAGCCAGCAACCUUGGCCGCAAGGACUAGCUUAGACCGCUAGGCCACCAGCGCCACUUUCUGACAAAGGAUUCAAACUUGGUGCAGAGAGAAGUCUGACUUUGACCAAACUGGAGCUGGUAACUACCUGCUGAGUGCGAUAGGGCGGUCUAUUUAAGCUGCAAGAUUUCCUGUCUCUGCUUCUGCUUUACCAACGUCACUGCUGCCCUGCUCCAGUGCUGCCUUCAAACUUUUAGCCCCACUACCUCCCCGGCAUCCACCUGAGAGUCUAAAACGCUGUUUACGUGUGAAGUACCUACCUCCAUCUAUCCCCAUCACCUCUUCACUCACCACCUAGUCUCUGAUCAUCAGAACUGUAAGCCACACAGCUGCCUUACUUCUACCUGUCCUACCUGUGCCACAUCCCCCUCAACAUCCCAGCUCCUGUGUCUCUGUCUACACGGCUGCUCUGUCACCUCUGCCCCAUGAAGAUGACUGCUGCCAAUUAUCGUCUGCCUGUUUACAAUAAA